AAGAAACGGAAGCACAGUCUGCUGUUACAAAAGGAUGUACAGAGCCCUUCCCAAAAUGCAAUAGAUUCAAGUCCAACAGGUAGUCCAGAAUAGCUGAAAGCAACAAGGAUUCAGACACAAGUCAGUGGCACUGACACCAAUGGUUGACUCUAUUCCACUUCUGCAGGUUAAUAAUUUGGGUUGACUCCUUUCUACUAUUCAGUAACAUUUAUUGUAGUUCCACAAAACAGGUAGAUUCUAAUCAAACCAAAGAUUACGGAACCAUGCCCUGAGAUGGAGGAUCCUUAGGUUGGGAUGAAGUAAAUGACCCUUAUCUGGGGAGAGGAGAUGAGGAAUGAUAAGAAGUUUGGUUGCUGUGUGGAUGCACAGCUGAAGCAGGUAAAGAUACCAAGUUUGUCUCGGCCUGAUCGGUACUAUAAGGAUAACGCGGACUUGGUCAUGUCUGAUCCUGUUCAUUAGUCUCUGUAUUUGCAGUGUUGAAGGAAAUGCAUAGACUAGACCCUUCAUGCAAAAUAGGAGAAAGGUGUCUUCCAGAGACUGAUAGCUUAGAUCCCCUCUUGGAAAAAAAACAGACUAAAAUACUUCUUGUUCCUGGUGGCAGCAAAGAGAUCCACACCUGGUAGUCCCAAUUCUAGAAUAUACGGUUGUGGAAGUACAGAAAAGGAUAAAGGGAAUUUGAACCUAGAUAUCUUGACUUCUAGGAAUAAAGUAAGAGUCAGGCUAACAAUAGCUCUAAUAAUGCGUGAUUUCAGGCAGGGCCUGGACAAGUGGAAAGCGAGUGGAACAAAAAAGUGUAAGAGAUACUGUUUUUCGACCUUGUGUUAGAUAAAAAUGGAAUACAGACUGUAGCAGGAACUGCUGAGAAAAGUAAGAUAUCAGAAGGAAUAUGUAUAAACAAGAUGCAGUUGUUGAUCAUUACUGUCUGUAACAAAAGGUACAAAUGCUUACCCUAAUUGUUUAUCUAAUGGAGACCUACCUAGGGAGGGGAAUCCCUGCCCGUGUGCACUCUCCCAUGCAAUUGCUCGUAAUAAAGCUGCCUCUGGCUUGUUGCUUCAAACUCAGAGUGAGGACAUUGUUUUCUUCCACAAUUUUGGUGCUGUGACUCGGAUGGCAACGCCCAGCUGAGACAGCGACAACUACUACGGACCAUUCCCCUUCGAACCCCAAGGCUCCAAUCAAGAUCAGAUGCAGAGCGGUUCUGAGGAAUUUGUUGCCGCCCUUGCUGAGGGCAUCGGCUGUGGUGUUCUGAACUCCAGGGAGGGAUCAGAGUGGAUUUUCUUACACUGAGCUGAAGACCUAAUUCCAGGAAAAGAGAAAGUGACGUCCGAGCAGAUGACAGUAUUACUUUGUAAGCCUGAUGCUUGAGCAGCCAGUCGUUGAGCUUUCAGCCAUCAAAGGGGAGGCAUUCUACAGUGUUCUGAACCUCUCUUAAGAAACCCUGAGAGUUGGAGCCAUGACGCCCUGUGCAUAACUACAACAGCAGAGAUGGAGCUGGCAUUGGUGUAUGUAGCAUCCAAGAAUGCUUGAGGAGAAGUUCUAGCUAAUAACUGACCCUCUGCAACGAUGGCAUGAAA